ACUACUACGUGUGAGGAGGAGGAGGUUAGCCUUGAUGGGCAGGUGGUGCCUCAGAAGGACACCUUUUGAUAUUUGGGGUCAAUGUUGCAGGAGGAUGGGGGUAUUGAUGAAGAUGU